rnacentral:lncRNA from 1 species
CCGGUGGAUCCUGCCCCAUGGUAGAAGCUCGUUUGGGAUCCGGCUACGAAGAAGCUCAGCUGAAGUCUACCUGUAAUGGAAGUUCGAAAGAAAUUUAUUUACAGUAGAAGCUCGAAUGGAAUUUGCUUACAAUAGAUAUCCAGAGUAGACCGCCCACCGUAGGAGUUCGGAGUAGACCGCUCGCUGUAGGAGUUCGGAGUAGACUGCUCGUAGUAGGAGUUCGGAGUAAACUGCUCGUAGUAGAAGUUCGGAGUAGACUGCUCGUAGUAGGAGUUCGGAGUAAACUGCUCGUAGUAGAAGUUCGGAGUAGACCGCCCGUAGUAGAAGUUCAGCUCUCACAGGAGCCCGGUUGGAAUCCUGAAGGCGGUCGACCGCUGUAGAAACUU